rnacentral:lncRNA from 1 species
CACUGCAGCCAGCCACAUUGUAUUGUUGAGCAUCCUUUGGAAAAAUGUGGCAAAGCAAUCAUAAAAAAAAUAUAUAUAUAUAAUUAUAUUAUUUUUUCAAAGAUGAGCUUUUCUAGAAUGAACUGAAACAUUUCCAGGAAAAAGGUAAACAGAAAUAAAGAAACUUGACACUCACAUGACAUCAUCCCAUCUACAAUCCUCUUCUCUCAAUCUGUACCAAUGGAAACCAAUCUUUCUUCAGCGCCUAACCGAAGUAUUUCUUCUUCUAAGAAGCCUUCCCCAUUACCCCUCCUCCAAAAUGCCCAAAAUUGAAUCCGCAGCUCUAACUUCAUGUCUGCGUGUUUCACUAACCUCCCAUGUUAUCUCUGGCUUUGAAUCCUUGGCUCUGCCUCCCAAGAGUCUCAUUAAAGGUCGACUGGAUAAAUGAAUGAACAUUAAUAAGUUAUCUCUUAGUAAAAUAAUGAAAGGCUUCACAUUUUUAGACCUCUUGAUGAUAAUGUUACUUGCCCCAAGAAUAAAGUCUCCCUUUAAGUCAAACAUUUAAGAAUCUUUGAAUAUUUAAUAUACAAGGCAAUAAUACAUUAAAAAAAAAAAAAGAUACUUUCCAAACCAUGGGAGAAAAAGGCAACCUAAUCCAGUGAGCUCUUGUGAGACUUAUGCAUCCUGGCAACCAAAAAUCAAUGUGCAUGAAUUUCUAAUGCAUUUGAAAAGCAACAGAGACAGUGGCAAUCCUGUUAAUAUCAACCCAAGGUUAGCUGCUAUCUAUCUGAUUUCCUUUCACAUUCAGUCAGUAGACUGCCUUGCAGUGAUAUAUCAACAACCCGUGAUGCAAAAUUCAGGGAAAGAGCUGACUAAUCCUGUCAAGUAAUCCAACCUGGAAAAAGGUUUUAAGAUCCCCUGUUUCCAGAACAUCCACAAACAGCAAUUCUGGAAUGUACGUACCCGUGGGGUUUCUGACUGGGUCCUGCGAGCCACCAUCAGUAACAGCUGUUGCUGAAGGGCACUGACGGCAGGGUCCCCAGAAGAUGGAUCUUGACUCUCAGAAGUUGUGGUACUGGAGGAGCUGACCUGCAUCUCUCUGAGGAUGGGCAAAACAAAAAAUCCUGGCAUUUUUUUCCUUUGCCUCAGAAAGCAAAAACUAGGACAUACUUCUCUAUCUGAUUUUCUAAUAGGGUAUCUAUAACUUUUAGGAGACAAUGUUGGCUGCCUACUCAACAGACAUUUCUCACAGAAUGUCUCCUAACAUAACUCCAUUUUAUUAAGUCAUCCAAGACUGUGUGCUUUGGAAGAGACAUGAGGUCCUUCCCUAGCCCCAGGGAAAAAUCCUGGUCUUUAAGCCAUUCGCCCUGGCCAGAGCUUGGCUUUGGAAUGAGAAAGAAACACAACUCUAAGAGGUCACUGGGGAGCAAAGAAGAGUUGGCUGGGAUUAAGAGAGCUCUCGGACAAAUUUUUCUAUAGUUCUUAAGUAGUAACAAAAGUAAAAGACAGUCUUUCUCCAGGCCUUAACAUGAUUCGUGAAUAAUAAAUACUGCUAUCGUGAUGGACAAACUUGAGUACUGGAGAGCUGAGUGAUGGAAGGGAACUAGUUUUUUGAUGACAGCAUUAAACCUCCGAAUUCACCAACCUUGAACAGAUCAUACCUUUGGGCUUCUUGUGUUCUGACAUAAUACA